rnacentral:rRNA from 1 species
GUACUGAGACACGGACCAGACUCCUACGGGAGGCAGCAGUGAGGAAUAUUGGUCAAUGGAGGCAACUCUGAACCAGCCAUGCCGCGUGAAGGAUGACGGCCCUAUGGGUUGUAAACUUCUUUUAUAGAGGAAGAAACUUGUCUACGUGUAGACAACUGACGGUACUCUACGAAUAAGGAUCGGCUAACUCCGUGCCAGCAGCCGCGGUAAUACGGAGGAUCCAAGCGUUAUCCGGAUUCAUUGGGUUUAAAGGGUCCGUAGGCGGGUCUUUAAGUCAGUGGUGAAAGCCGACAGCUCAACUGUCGAACUGCCAUUGAUACUGGAGACCUUGAGUACAAAUGAAGUAGGCGGAAUGAGUCAUGUAGCGGUGAAAUGCAUAGAUAUGACUCAGAACACCGAUUGCGAAGGCAGCUUACUAACAUGUAACUGACGCUGAGGGACGAAAGCGUGGGGAGCGAACAGGAUUAGAUACCCUGGUAGUCCACGCCGUAAACGAUCAUCACUCGCUGUUGGCGAUAUACUGUCAGCGGCCAAGCGAAAGUAUUAAGUAUGCACCUGGAGUCACAC